GCCCUGGCUAUGUGGUCUUGCCGCAAGGUAAGCACUGCUUUGGCUGGGGCUUUCUUUCUGGCGAACUAUUGUGCCCUUUACUGGGUGUGAUAGGGAACCAGGACUUUUACUUUGAAAAAAUUAGAGUGUUCAAAGCAGGCAUAUGCUUGAAUACAUUAGCAUGGAAUAAUAGAAUAGGAC
rnacentral:rRNA from 1 species